rnacentral:lncRNA from 1 species
CCAAAAGAAGUCUUCCUCCGUAAGAAUUUGGGAAGGAAGUCGAUUCCUUGUUGGAAUGGCCUUGCUGAGCCAAAACGGAUUUGUUAGAAGCUGUCGGCCAAGUAGUUUGCUACCGUCUAGAAUUCUAAAUUGGCUUUGGGAUUGAUCAAUCAUGGUUGAUAUAGGACAAGUCUUGUGGGCCACGAGAGAGUCAUGUUGGAAAUUGAAGCAACCGAAGCUUGUCUGAUGAUGCACGGUGGACUUGAAGCUUUGGCAUGUUUUGACUCUG